GGUGUUUUCUGCCUUGUUUCCUCCUUCUCGCGGCUCCGCACUGCGUGCGCAUUGUCGCGAGACUUCGUGUCAGUAUCGCGAGAUUUGACACGGAGUUGCGUCAUUUUCCUUUAAAUAUGGCCGCGCGCUGUUUGGUGUGUGUGAGCCGCGAGGGAGCCGCGAGUGAGUCGCGAGUUAGUUGCGAGUGUUGAGCUGCUGCAGAUGCCUCUACUAUUCAGUUGACUGCUGUUUGAGUGACUUAAUGAUACAGGAACUGGCCAGGUUCCGUGUAUGGAUGGCGAGCCGCUAGGCCCGAACUGAUUCUGUGGAGUUUAUCCAUCUACCGGUGUGGUAGGAGGCGCUGCAGCUGCUUAAUUGAAACAUCUGCACACACCUUUGGACAUUUUUACAUCUGCACACACUUUCAGACCAUAUUUAUUGAACUGAUUUCAUGGUCCAUUCCAUUAUGGACUCAAGUGACUCCUGUUUUACAGAUUGUGUGUUGUAACUGCUGUGGCUUCAAGUACUGCCUAUUGAGUAGAGUGCUGAUUGUUGUACGCUCAUUAAUAACUUUGAACUGAAUACUACCUAGGUGCACAUGUAAAUAUUGUAUUGUUGUCUAUUGUUAAUUGUCUAUAUUUAUGUAAUACAAUUCACAACUGCACUGCAGCAAUGAGUUUGUGUGUUCAUUGAACUUCACCCUUUUCCUCUUUGAGCCGAACCAAGAUUUUCUGAUACUGGUCUACUAUUGAUAUAUCUAUAAUUGCAGCAUUUAUACAUGCUACAUAUUGUGGCGAGCCAGCCAGGAGGAAGGGGUGAGUUUAAUGUACAACUGGGUUGUUGAUUUGGGUUUAUAGCAGUUCAGUGAAAAAAAAUGGAUGUGUUUUUGAAACGUGGUAUCAAAUUACCAAAUGCUGUAUUGUUGGAUGGUAUAACAGAAUCAGAAAGUAAUGAAGUCAUUGAGUUUCUAAGUAAAUAUGGGUCAGUCAAUAAGAUUGAGACAAUAUCUGGGACUGAGUCUGAGUAUGAUGGUGCACUUGUUGUCGAAUUUACUAGUGGUGCAGCUUUGGAAGCGCUACGUCCCAUUUUGCCAUACACCUGGG